AAUAAUAACGUGUGAAGGGGUUACCUCGAGUGCCACCUGAAGAAGGUGGCUUUUCCGUGGUCUAAAUAGCCUAGGGAAUAAGAGGGGGGCAAGACUGGUGUCAGCCGCCGCGGUAACACCAGCCCCUCGAGUAGUGGGGAUGAUUAUUUGGCCUAAAGCGUCCGUAGCCGGCCGGGUAAGUUUCCCGUUAAAUCCAACGUAUCAAGCGUUGGACUGCGGGAAAUACUGCCUGGCUAGAGAGUGGGAGAGGUCAGCGGUAUUCUGGGGGUAGGGGCGAAAUCCUUUGAUCCCCGGAGGACCACCAGUGGCGAAGGCUGCUGACUAGAACACGWUGACGGUCAGGGACGAAAGCUGGGGUAGCGAACCGGAUUAGAUACCCGGGUAGUCCCAGCCGUAAACGAUGCAUGCUAGGUGUUGGGUUGGCCACGAGCCACCCCAGUGCCGCAGGGAAGCCGUUAAGCAUGC
rnacentral:rRNA from 1 species